GAUGAACGCUGGCGGCGUGCCUAAUACAUGCAAGUCGAGCGAACGGACGAGAAGCUUGCUUCUCUGAUGUUAGCGGCGGACGGGUGAGUAGCACGUGGAUAACCUACCUAUAAGACUGGGAUAACUUCGGGAAACCGGAGCUAAUACCGGAUAAUAUUUUGAACCGCAUGGUUCAAGAGUGAAAGACGGUCUUGCUGUCACUUAUAGAUGGAUCCGCGCUGCAUUAGCUAGUUGGUAAGGUAACGGCUUACCAAGGCAACGAUGCAUAGCCGACCUGAGAGGGUGAUCGGCCACACUGGAACUGAGACACGGUCCAGACUCCUACGGGAGGCAGCAGUAGGGAAUCUUCCGCAAUGGGCGAAAGCCUGACGGAGCAACGCCGCGUGAGUGAUGAAGGUCUUCGGAUCGUAAAACUCUGUUAUUAGGGAAGAACAUAUGUGUAAGUAACUGUGCACAUCUUGACGGUACCUAAUCAGAAAGCCACGGCUAACUACGUG
rnacentral:rRNA from 1 species